rnacentral:rRNA from 1 species
AUGAACGCUGGCGGCGUGCCUAAUACCUGCAAGUCGCGCGCACAGACGAGGAGCUUGCUCCUCUGACGUUAGCGGCGGACGGGUGAGUAACACGUGGAUAACCUACCUAUAAGACUGGGAUAACUUCGGGAAACCGGAGCUAAUACCGGAUAAUAUAUUGAACCGCAUGGUUCAAUAGUGAAAGACGGUUUUGCUGUCACUUAUAGAUGGAUCCGCGCCGCAUUAGCUAGUUGGUAAGGUAACGGCUUACCAAGGCGACGAUGCGUAGCCGACCUGAGAGGGUGAUCGGCCACACUGGAACUGAGACACGGUCCAGACUCCUACGGGAGGCAGCAGUAGGGAAUCUUCCGCAAUGGGCGAAAGCUUGACGGAGCAACGCCGCGUGAGUGAUGAAGGUCUUCGGAUCGUAAAACUCUGUUAUUAGGGAAGAACAAAUGUGUAAGUAACUAUGCACGUCUUGACGGUACCUAAUCAGAAAGCCACGGCUAACUACGUG